rnacentral:tRNA from 1 species
GGGGUUGUGGCUCAGCGGUAGAGCACUUGCCUAGCAUGUGCGAGGCUCUGGGUUCAAUCUCAGCACCCACA